GAAGCGGCAACAGCUCAAAUUUGAAAUCUGACCCUUGGGGGUCCGAGUUGUAAUUUGCAGAGGGUGUUUCGGGUACGGUGUCGGUUUAAGUCCUUUGGAACAGGGUGUCAUAGAGGGUGAGAACCCCGUAUGUGACCGGUCGCCAAACCCAUGUGAAACCCCUUCGACGAGUCGAGUUGUUUGGGAAUGCAGCUCAAAAUGGGUGGUAAAUUUCAUCUAAAGCUAAAUAUUGGCCAGAGACCGAUAGCGCACAAGUAGAGUGAUCGAAAGAUGAAAAGCACUUUGGAAAGAGAGUCAAACAGCACGUGAAAUUGUUGAAAGGGAAGCGCUUGCGACCAGACCUGCUCGCGGGUGAUCAGCGGUGCUUUUCGCGCCGUGCACUCGUCCGCGAUCAGGCCAGCAUCGGUUCAGGCGGCCGGAUAAAGACUCGGAGAAUGUAGCUCCCUCCGGGGAGUGUUAUAGCUCCUUGUGCAAUACGGCCAGCCGGGACCGAGGACCGCGCU
rnacentral:rRNA from 1 species